rnacentral:lncRNA from 1 species
UGCGUGGUUUACAAAUGAUCCUUAACAGUGACAGAUAUGCUCCAAGCUUGCAUGAACUCGGGCAUUUUAAUAUUCCAACACUCUGUGAUCCAGCAAAUCUCCAGUGGUUUAUUCUCACCAAAGCUCAGCAGGCAAGAGAGAACAUGAAAAGAAAGGAAGAGUUAAAGGUUAUUGAAAAUGAAUUGAUACAGGCAUCAACAAAGAAAUUUUCUUUGGAGAAGUUAUAUAAAGAGCCCAGCAUUUCUAGUAUACAAAUGGUGGAUUGUUGUAAGAGACUUCUAGAACAAUCACUGCCUUACCUACAUGGGAUGCACCUCUGCAUUUCACAUUUUUACUCUGUUAUGCAAGAUGGAGACCUUUGUAUUCCUUGGAAUUGGAAGAAUGGAGAAGCCAUUAAGUAACACAGAAAUCUGUUUUAUUUUUUUAAGAGAUAAGAAAGGAACUUAAAUUAAAAAUAUUUAAAUCCACAAUUUGAUAUAACAGUAUUAUUUACAUAAGAACAAAGUUUCUAACUGCUGCUUUAAAAGUAGACUUUUUUAAAAAAAUUAAUUUCUGCUAGGAGAGGUUUUAUAUGCCAGGCGUGGUGGCUCAUGCCUGCGGUCCCAGCUACUUAGGGAGGCUAAGAUAGGAGGAUCACUUGAGCCCAGGAGGCCAAGGUUGCAGUGGGCCCAGAUUGCACCAUUGCCCUCCAGCCUGAGCAACAGAACAAGACCUUGUCUCAAAAAAUAAUAAUGAUAAUUUAAAAUAAAUAAGUAACUAAUAAAAAGAUUUUAUAUCCCAGUCUUAUGAUGUUGGUUGGCAAGGCUAGAUAAAAAGAUGUUAGAAUGAAAGAACAUAUUUUUAGUGAUAUGUAAAUGAAGGAUUCUACAAUAGUCAUAUAUUUUUAUAUGAAUGAAUGUUGGGUUGGGCUGGAGAGGUAUGUGUGUGUAAAUAUAAAGGUCUCACAUUCAGAGUAUAGCUCUGAAAUAAUGGAACUCAUGUCUACAAUUCAACAUGCAUCUGUAUAGUUACAUCUCAUGUAAAUAUACACAGACAUAUUUUGCAGCCAGUAAUUGACAGUUAAUGUCCAAAACAGGUGAUUGAUAGGUAACAGAAAUUAGAUAACCACCAAUUUUGCCCAAGAGAAAGACUAGAAGGACUAAAAGCAGUUGAAUGUAUGGUACUGACAUUGUCAUAAGCAGUCUGAUAACCAGUUUAUUGAAACGUGUGCAUUAACAGAGAAUUUAAUUUUAAACCCAUAAUUUCUCCUAUCCAUUAAAAUAUUAUAAUUGUUAGUAGUAUGAAACCAACAGGAAAUGUUUUUUAAUCAUUUAGUGAGGUGAUUCAUUUGUUUCAUGGGCAAACACUAUCCAGGAAAAGCCUUGCUUGCCUGUUUCCCAAAGAGCUCUAAGAAAUAGAAUCAAGUGUAAAAUGGUUCAGACCAUUCAGGAUUUCUUGUCACUCUUCUCAACCACGAUCUUCCUGUUAUUACUGAUGUUUGAAACCCUGUCAUUAGCCCCGGCCUGGUUAAAGCCCCUCAGAGUCACCUCUCAUUCAUAGCAAUAGAAUUCAACCCCAAGUGGUUGAUGGUGUCCCCAGCACAGCCGAGAGACCUGAUCUCUGGAUUCAGUGCUUUUAGCUCUUCGAGUUUACCCUAAGAUACCUUCGGGCAAUAUUUUUAACCAACCCAAAAGCUCUUCAGGUCAUUUCUGAAGAGGACAAGGUGAAUCUUGGCUUGGAACACCAUUUUUGGGCUCUUGCUACUGAAUGAAUCAGAAAGGAAUUUUUUCUGAAGAGCAUUAGAAAGUAAAAGAGAUGUUAAAAUAAGUUCUUGAAGUAUGUUUUAUAUUUAUCUAAAACACUGAUUUUAAAAGUUUACAUUCAAAUGUGUAUUCAAAAGAAGUACUGAUUUGUAAUUAUUAUAGUUUGUGUGUAUCAUCCCUUUUAACCGUGCCUAACAACUGUACUUAAAUUUUGUUUUCUAGUGUAACAAAUGUUUCCCAUAAGAUUUUCUAGAGCCAAAUAAUGGGAGUGAAAAAUUCCUUAAGUGUUAUAUAAGAAAAUAUAUUAGAAAAUCAGCUUUGGAUUAUACGAUUUCUAAAAUAUACUAAUACAGAAUCCUCAGUAAUAUGUUUUGAAUUGGAUUUUUUCUCAGAACUGUUACAUAAUAAAUAAUACAUCAACC